CAGCCGCCACGGUAAAACGUAGGGUGCGAGCGUUAAUCGGAAUUACUGGGCGUAAAGCGUGCGCAGGCGGUUUUGUAAGACAGGCGUGAAAUCCCCGGGCUCAACCUGGGAAUGGCGCUUGUGACUGCAAAGCUAGAGUGCGGCAGAGGGGGAUGGAAUUCCGCGUGUAGCAGUGAAAUGCGUAGAUAUGCGGAGGAACACCGAUGGCGAAGGCAAUCCCCUGGGCCUGCACUGACGCUCAUGCACGAAAGCGUGGGGAGCAAACAGGAUUAGAUACCCCCGUAGUCCCUGUCUCUUAUAC
rnacentral:rRNA from 1 species